rnacentral:rRNA from 1 species
CCUACGGGAGGCAGCAGCAAGGAAUUUUCCGCAAUGGGCGCAAGCCUGAUGCAGCAACGCCGCGUGCCCGAGGACGGCCUUCGGGUUGUAAAGGGCUUUUCUGGCCAACGAGGAAGGACGGUAGGCCAGGAAUAAGCGUCGGCUAACUACGUGCCAGCAGCCGCGGUAAU